rnacentral:tRNA from 2 species
ACUUUUAAUGGAAAACAGGCAUCCGCUGGUUU